UGCUUCUGAAGGCAACCAGAAUGAAUUUUGCAACCAAGCUCUGUCAACUUUAUUGCUGGUGAAACCUGGAACGUGAUGAGUAAUGUUUCCACUUUCUUUUUCCCACAAGCAGAGAUAACAGUGCAUCCAUCCUCACCAUCAUGGAACCCAGACAUCCCACACUGCAGUGGAACAAAGAAGGAUGAGUGGAAGAAAGGAAUGAGCAGCAGAAGAAGGCAUCACUGGAACCUUAAGCUUCUAGAGGGUACAAGACAAGACUGUUUGCAAAGCAGAAGACAGCAGCCAGGGCAAGGUGGGGGUCAGGAUAUCACCACUAGGAGAGACAGAGUCCAGGUGCUUCUUCAGCCAGCCCCAUGCUUCCAGGAAGUGCACUCAGGCUCAGAUUUAAGAAACUCACAGGGAGACUCUAACCUCAAGAGCAAAAGGAUUAGGGGGCUAAGCAGAGGUGAGCAAUGGGUCACUGGAUAAAACAUACACAAACCUUCUGAAUUGAAGGAUAACCUGAAAACACUAGAGUUCUGCAACAUUAAAUAAACCUUCUAAAGUUCAGGUGCCAAUCAGGGCUUCAGUUUGUAAAAGCAGAAAUCUCAACGGCUAACUCUGUUGACAAAUUGCUAGCAUUUCCUCCCUUAGGUUAAGCCAGAAGUCAUUGACAGCAACAUUACAUGCAUUCCCAC
rnacentral:lncRNA from 1 species